rnacentral:piRNA from 1 species
UGGUGGGUGCAUAUGUUUU